AGCGAACGCUGGCGGCAGGCCUAACACAUGCAAGUCGAACGAACUCUUCGGAGUUAGUGGCGGACGGGUGGGUAACACGUGGGAACGUGCCUUUUGGUUCGGAAUAACUCAGGGAAACUUGUGCUAAUACCGAAUGUGCCCUUCGGGGGAAAGAUUUAUCGCCAUUAGAGCGGCCCGCGUCUGAUUAGCUAGUUGGUGAGGUAACGGCACACCAAGGCGACGAUCAGUAGCUGGUCUGAGAGGAUGACCAGCCACACUGGGACUGAGACCCGGCCCAGACUCGUACGGGAGGCAGCAGUGGGGAAUAUUGCGGAAUGAGCGAAAGCCUGACGCAGCCAUGCCGCGUGAAUGAUGAAGGUCUUAGGAUUGUGAUAUUCUUUCACCGGAGACGAUAAUGACGGUAACGGGAGAAGAAGCCCCGGCUAACUACGUG
rnacentral:rRNA from 1 species